rnacentral:lncRNA from 1 species
ACCCGUUUUUUGGCCAUUUUUCCGCUGGGGGGUUUUGGCACCACGACCUUCGGGCGCUUAUUUUUGGACGCGGCUGUGCCCGCGACUUCCCGCGGGCACCUCGAGGCCCCUCGCAAAGUCUCGCCCCAUUCCGAGUCCGGCGGACGAACUUCGCCCGCACCCCCCACCAAGGCUAUAGCCCACCCGUUUUUUGGCUAUUUUUCCGCUGGGGGGUUUUGGCACCACGACCUUCGGGUGCUUAUUUUUGGACGCGGCUGUGCCCGCGACUUCCCGCGGGCACCUCGAGGCCCCUCGUAAAGUCUCGCCCCAUUCCGAGUCCGGCGGACGAACUUCGCCCGCGCCCCCCACCAAGGCUAUAGCCCACCCGUUUUUUGGCCAUUUUUCCGCUGGGGGGGUUUUGGCACCACGACCUUCGGGCGCUUAUUUUUGGACGCGGCUGUGCCCGCGACUUCCCGCGGGCACCCCGAGGCCCCUCGCAAAGUCUCGCCCCAUUCCGAGUCCGGCGGACGAACUUCGCCCGCGCCCCCCACCAAGGCUAUAGCCCACCCGUUUUUUGGCCAUUUUUCCGCUGGGGGGUUUUGGCACCACGACCUUCGGGCGCUUAUUUUUGGACGCGGCUGUGCCCGCGACUUCCCGCGGGCACCCCGAGGCCCCUCGCAAAGUCUCGCCCCAUUCCGAGUCCGGUGGACGAACUUCGCCCGCGCCCCCCACCAAGGCUAUAGCCCACCCAUUUUUUGGCCAUUUUUCCGCUGGGGGGUUUUGGCACCACGACCUUCGGGCGCUUAUUUUUGGGCGCGGCCUUGCCCACGGCUUAUUUUUGGCACCCCGAGGCCCCUCGCAAAGUCUCGCCCCAUUCCGAGUCCGGCGGACGAACUUCGCCAGCGCCCCCCACCAAGGCUAUAGCCCACCCGUUUUUUGGCCAUUUUUCCGCUGGGGGGUUUUGGCACCACGACCUUCGGGCGCUUAUUUUUGGACGCGGCUGUGCCCGCGACUUCCCGCGGGCACUCCGAGGCCCCUCGCAAAGUCUCGCCCCAUUCCGAGUCCGGCGGACGAACUUCGCCCGCGCCCCCCACCAAGGCUAUAGCCCACCCGUUUUUUGGCCAUUUUUCCGCUGGGGGGUUUUGGCACCACGACCUUCGGGCGCUUAUUUUUGGGCGCGGCUUUGCCCGCGGCUUAUUUUUGGCACCCCGAGGCCCCUCGCAAAGUCUCGCCCCAUUCCGAUUCCGGCGGACGAACUUCGCACGCGCCCCCCACUAAGGCUAUAGCCCACCCGUUUUUUGGCCAUUUUUCCGCUGGGGGGUUUUGGCACCACGACCUUCGGGUGCUUAUUUUUGGACGCGGCUGUGCCCGCGACUUCCCGCAGGCACCCCGAGGCCCCUCGCAAAGUCACGCCCCAUUCUGAGUCCGGCGGACGAACUUCGCCCGCGCCCCCCACCAAGGCUAUAGCCCACCCGUUUUUUGGCCAUUUUUCCGCUGGGGGGUUUUGGCACCACGACCUUCAGGCGCUUAUUUUUGGUGCGCCGAGGCCCCUCGCAAAGUCUCGCCCCAUUCCGAGCCCGGCGGACGAACUUCGCCCGCGCCCCCCACCAAGGCUAUAGCCCACCCGUUUUUUGGCCAUUUUUCCGCUGGGGGGUUUUGGCACCACGACCUUCAGGCGCUUAUUUUUGGGCGCGGCUUUGCCCGCGGCUUAUUUUUGGUGCGCCGAGGCCCCUCGCAAAGUCUCGCCCCAUUCCGAGUCCGGCGGACGAACUUCGCUCGCGCCCCCCACGAAGGCUAUAGGCCACCCCUUUUUUGGCCAUUUUUCCGCUGGCGGGUUUUGGCACCACGACCUUCGGGCGCUUAUUUUUGGGCGCGGCUUUGCCCGCGGCUUAUUUUUGGCGCCCCGAGGCUCCUCGCAAAGUCUCGCCCCAUUCCGAGUCCGGCGCACGAACUUCGCCCGCGCCCCCCACCAAGGCUAUAGCCCACCCGUUUUUUGGCCAUUUUUCCGCUGGGGGGUUUUGGCACCAUGACCUUCGGGCGCUUAUUUCUGGACGCGGCUGUGCCCGCGACUUCCCGCGGGCACCCCGAGGCCCCUCGCAAAGUCUCGCCCCAUUCCGAGUCCGGCGGACGAACUUCGCCCGCGCCCCCCACCAAGGCUAUAGCCCACCCGUUUUUUGGCCAUUUUUCCGCUGGGGGGUUUUGGCACCACGACCUUCGGGCUCUUAUUUCUGGACGCGGCUGUGCCCGCGACUUCCCGCGGGCACCCCGAGGCCCCUCGCAAAGUCUCGCCCCAUUCCGAGUCCGGCGGACGAACUUCGCCCGCGCCCCCCACCAAGGCUAUAGCCCACCCAUUUUUUGGCCAUUUUUCCGCUGGGGGGUUUUGGCAACACGACCUUCGGGCACUUAUUUUUGGGCGCGGCGUUGCCCGCGGCUUAUUUUGGGCACCCCGAGGCCCCUCGCAAAGUCUCGCCCCAUUCCGAGUCCGGCGGACGAACUUCGCCCGCGCCCCCCACCAAGGCUAUAGCCCACCCGUUUUUUGGCCAUUUUUCCGCUGGGGGGUUUUGGCACCACGACCAUCGGGCUCUUAUUUUUGGACGCGGCUUGUCCAGCGACUUCCCGCGGGCACCCCGAGGCCCCUCGCAAAGUCUCGCCCCAUUCCGAGUCCGGCGGACGAACUUCGCCCGCGCCCCCCACCAAGGCUAUAGCCCACCCGUUUUUUGGCCAUUUUUCCGCUGGGGGGUUUUGGCACCACGACCUUCGGGCACUUAUUUUUGGACGCAGCUGUGCCCGCGACUUCCCGCGAGCACCCCGAAGCCCCUCGCAAAGUCUCGCCCCAUUCCGAGUCCGGCGGACGAACUUCGCCCGCGCCCCCCACCAAGGCUAUAGCCCACCCGUUUUUUGGCCAUUUUUCCGCUGGGGGGUUUUGGCACCACGACUUUCGGGCGCUUAUUUUUGGGCGCGGCUUUGCCCGCAGCUUAUUUUUGGCGCCCCGAGGCCCUGCACAAAGUCUCGCCCCAUUCCGAGUCCGGCGGACGAACUUCGCCCGCGCCCCCCACCAAGGCUAUAGCCCAGCCGUCUUUUGGCCAUUUUUCCGCUGGGGGGUUUUGGCACCACGACCUUCAGGCGCUUAUUUUUGGGCGCAGCUUUGCCCACGGCUUAUUUUUGGUGCCCCGAUGCCCCUCGCAAAGUCUCGCCCCAGUCCGAGUCCGGCGGACGAACUUCGCCCGCGCCCCCCACCAAGGCUAUAGCCCACCCGUUUUUUGGCCAUUUUUCCGCUGGGGGGUUUUGGCACCACGACCUUCGGGCGCUUAUUUCUGGACGCGGCUGUGCCCGCGACUUCCCGCGGGCACCCCGAGGCCCCUCGCAAAGUCUCGCCCCANNNNNNNNNNNNNNNNNNNNNNNNNNNNNNNNNNNNNNNNNNNNNNNNNNNNNNNNNNNNNNNNNNNNNNNNNNNNNNNNNNNNNNNNNNNNNNNNNNNNCCAACCCGUUUUUUGGCCAAUUUUCCGCUGGGGGGGUUUUGGCACCACGACCUUCGGGCUCUUAUUUCUGGACGCGGCUGUGCCCGUGACUUCCCGCGGGCACCCCGAGGCCCCUCGCAAAGUCUCGCCACAUUCCGAGUCCGGCGGACGAACUUCGCCCGCGCCCCCCACCAAGGCUAUAGCCCACCCGUUUUUUGGCCAUUUUUCCGCUGGGGGGUUUUGGCAACACGACCUUCGGGCGCUUAUUUUUGGACACGGCUGUGCCCGCGACUUCCCGCGGGCACCCCAAGGCCCCUCGCAAAGUCUCGCCCCAUUCCGAGUCCGGCGGACGAACUUCGCCCGCGCCCCCCACCAAGGCUAUAGCCCACCCGUUUUUUGGCCAUUUUUCCGCUGGGGGGUUUUGGCACCACGACCUUCGGGCGCUUAUUUUUGGACGCGGCUGUGCCCGCGACUUCCCGCGGGCACCUCGAGGCCCCUCGCAAAGUCUCGCCCCAUUCCGAGUCCGGCGGACGAACUUCGCCCGCGCCCCCCACCAAGGCUAUAGCCCACCCGUUUUUUGGCCAUUUUUCCGCUGGGGGGUUUUGGCACCACGACCUUUGGGCGCUUAUUUUUGGGCGCGGCUUUGUCCGCGGCUUAUUUUUGGCACCCCGAGGCCCCUAGCAAAGUCUCGCCCCAUUCCGAGUCCGGCGGACGAACUUCGCCCGCGCCCCCCACCAAGGCUAUAGCCCACCCGUUUUUUGGCCAUUUUUCCGCUGGGGGGUUUUGGCACCACGACCUUCGGGCGCUUAUUUUUGGGCACGGCUUUGCCCGCGGCUUAUUUUUGGUGCCCCGAGGCCCCUCGCAAAGUCUCGCCCCAUUCCGAGUCCGGCAGACGAACUUCGCCCGCGCCCCCCACCAAGGCUAUAGCCCACCCGUUUUUUGGCCAUUUUUCCGCUGGGGGGGUUUUGGCACCACGACCUUCGGGCGCUAAUUUUUGGGUGCGGCUGUGCCCGCGACUUCCCGCGGGCACCCCGAGGCCCCUCGCAAAAUCUCGCCCCAUUCCGAGUCCGGCGGACGAACUUCGCCCGCGCCCCCCACCAAGGCUAUAGCCCACCCGUUUUUUGGCCAUUUUUCCGCUGGGGGGUUUUGGCACCACGACCAUCGGGCGCUUAUUUUUGGGCGCGGCUGUGCCCGCGACUUCCCGCGGGCACCCCGAGGCCCCUCGCAAAGUCUCGCCCCAUUCCGAGUCCGGCGGACGAACUUCGCCCGCGCCCCCCACCAAGGCUAUAGCCCACCCGUUUUUUGGCCAUUUUUCCGCUCGGGGGUUUUGGCACCACGACCUUCGGGUGCUUAUGUUUGGGCGCGGCUUUGCCCGCGGCUUAUUUUUGGCACCCCGAGGCCCCUUGCAAAGUCUCGCCCCAUUCCGAGUCCGGCGGACGAACUUCGCCCGCGCCCCCCACCAAGGCUAUAGCCCACCCGUUUUUUGGCCAUUUUUCCGCUGGGAGGUUUUGGCACCACGACCUUCGGGCGCUUAUUUUUGGGCGCGGCUUUGCCCGCGGCUUAUUUUUGGCACCCCGAGGCCCCUCGCAAAGUCUCGCCGCAUUCCGAGUCCGGCGGACGAACUUCGCCCGCGCCCCCCACCAAGGCUAUAGCCCACCCGUUUUUUGGCCAUUUUUCCGCUGGGGGGUUUUGGCUCCACGACCUUCGGGCGCUUAUUUUUGGGCGCGGCUUUGCCCGCGGCUUAUUUUUGGCACCCCGAGGCCCCUCGCAAAGUCUUGCGGCAUUCCGAGUCCGGCGGACGAACUUCGCCCGCGCCCCCCACCAAGGCUAUAGCCCACCCGUUUUUUGGCCAUUUUUCCGCUGGGGGGUUUUGGCACCACGACCUUCGGGCGCUUAUUUUUGGGCGCGGCUUGGCCCGCGGCUUAUUUUUGGCACCCCGAGGCCCCUCGCAAAGUCUCGCCCCAUUCCGAGUCCGGCGGACGAACUUCGCCCGCGCCCCCCACCAAGGCUAUAGCCCACCCGUUUUUUGGCCAUUUUUCCGGUGGGGGGUUUUGGCACCACGACCUUCGGGCGCUUAUUUCUGGGCGCGGCUUUGCCCGCGGCUUAUUUUUGGCACCCCGAGGCCCCUCGCAAAGUCUCGCCGCAUUCCGAGUCCGGCGGACGAACUUCGCCCGCGCCCCCCACCAAGACUAUAGCCCACCCGUUUUUUGGCCAUUUUUCCGCUGGGGGGUUUUGGCACCACGACCUUCGGGCGCUUAUUUUUGGGCGCGGCUUUGCCCGGGGCUUAUUUUUGGCACGCCGAGGCCCCUCGCAAAGUCUCGCCGCAUUCCGAGUCCGGCGGACGAACUUCGCCCGCGCCCCCCACCAAGGCUAUAGCCCACCCGUUUUUUGGCCAUUUUUCCGCUGGGGGGUUUUGGCACCACGACCUUCGGGCGCUUAUUUUUGGGCGCGGCUUUGCCCGCGGCUUAUUUUUGGCACCCCGAGGCCCCUCGCAAAGUCUCGCCGCAUUCCGAGUCCGGCGGACGAACUUCGCCCGCGCCCCCCACCAAGGCUAUAGCCCACCCGUUUUUUGGCCAUUUUUCCGCUGGGGGGUUUUGGCACCACGACCUUCGGGCGCUUAUUUUUGGGCGCGGCUUUGCCCGCGGCUUAUUUUUGGCACCCCGAGGCCCCUCGCAAAGUCUCGCCGCAUUCCGAGUCCGGCGGACGAACUUCGCCCGCGCCCCCCACCAAGGCUAUAGCCCACCCGUUUUUUGGCCAUUUUUCCGCUGGGGGGUUUUGGCACCACGACCUUCGGGCGCUUAUUUUUGGGCGCGGCUUUGCCCGCGGCUUAUUUUUGGCACCCCGAGGCCCCUCGCAAAGUCUCGCCGCAUUCCGAGUCCGGCGGACGAACUUCGCCCGCGCCCCCCACCAAGGCUAUAGCCCACCCGUUUUUUGGCCAUUUUUCCGCUGGGGGGUUUUGGCACCACGACUUUCGGGCGCUUAUUUUUGGGCGCGGCUUUGCCCGCGGCUUAUUUUUGGCACCCCGAGGCCCCUCGCAAAGUCUCGCCGCAUUCCGAGUCCGGCGGACGAACUUCGCCCGCGCCCCCCACCAAGGCUAUAGCCCACCCGUUUUUUGGCCAUUUUUCCGCUGGGGGGUUUUGGCACCACGACCUUCGGGCGCUUAUUUUUGGGCGCGGCUUUGCCCGCGGUUUAUUUUUGGCACCCCGAGGCCCCUCGCAAAGUCUCGUCGCAUUCCGAGUCCGGCGGACGAACUUCGCCCGCGCCCCCCACCAAGGCUAUAGCCCACCCGUUUUUUGGCCAUUUUUCCGCUGGGGGGUUUUGGCACCACGACCUUCGGGCGCGGCUUUGCCCGCGGCUUAUUUUUGGCACCCCGAGGCCCCUCGCAAACUCUCGCCCCAUUCCGAGUCCGGCGGACGAACUUCGCCCGCGCCCCCCGCCAAGGCUAUAGCCCACCCGUUUUUUGGCCAUUUUUCCGCUGGGGGGUUUUGGCACCACGACCUUCGGGCGCUUAUUUCUGGGCGCGGCUUUGCCCGCGGCUUAUUUUUGGCACCCCGAGGCCCCUCGCAAAGUCUCGCCGCAUUCCGAGUCCGGCGGACGAACGUCGCCCGCGCCCCCCACCAAGGCUAUAGCCCACCCGUUUUUUGGCCAUUUUUCCACUCGGGGGUUUUGGCACCACGACCUUCGGGCACUUAUGUUUGGGCGCGGCUUUGCCCGCGGCUUAUUUUUGGCACCCCGAGGCCCCUCGCAAAGUCUCGCCCCAUUCCGAGUCCGGCGGACGAACUUCGCCCGCGCCCCCCACCAAGGCUAUAGCCCACCCGUUUUUUGGCCAUUUUUCCGCUGGGGGGUUUUGGCACCACGACCUUCGGGCGCUUAUUUUUGGGCGCGGCUUUGCCCCCGGCUUAUUUUUGGUACCCCGAGGCCCCUCGCAAAGUCUCGCCCCAUUCCGAGUCCGGCGGACGAACUUCGCCCGCGCCCCCCACCAAGGCUAUAGCCCACCCGUUUUUGGGCCAUUUUUCCGCUGGGGGGUUUUGGCACCACGACCUUCGGGCGCUUAAUUUUGGGCACGGCUUUUCCCGCGGCUUAUUUUUGGCACCCCGAGGCCCCUCGCAAAGUCUCGCCCCAUUCCGAGUCCGGCGGACGAACUUCGCCCGCCCCCCCCACCAAGGCUAUAGCCCACCCAUUUUUUGGCCAUUUUUCCGCUGGGGGUUUUGGCAGCACGACCUUCAGGCCCUUAUUUUUGGGCGCGGCUUAUUUUUGGCACCCCGAGGCCCCUCGUAAAGUCUCGCCCCAUUCCGAGUCCGGGGGACGAACUUCGCCCGCGCCCCCCACCAAGGCUAUAGCCCACCCGUUUUUUGGCCAUUUUUCCGCUGGGGGGUUUUGGCGCCACGACCUUCGGGCGCUUAUUUUUGGGCGCGGCUUUGCCCGCGGCUUAUUUUUUGCCCCCCGAGGCCCCUCGCGAAGUCUCGCCCCAUUCCGAGUCCGGCGGACGAACUUCGCCCGCGCUCCCCACCAAGGUCAUAGCCCACCCGUUUUUUGGCCAUUUUUCCGCUGGGGGGUUUUGGCACCAUGACCUUCGGGCGCUUAUUUUUGGGCGCGGCUUUGCCCGGGCUUAUUUUUGGCACCACGAGGCACCUCGCAAAGUCUCGGCCCAUUCCGAGUCCGGCGGACGAAAUUCGCCCGCGCCCCACACCAAGGCUAUAGCCCACCCGUUUUUUGGCCAUUUUUCCGCUGGGGGGUUUUGGCACCACGACCUUCGGGCGCUUAUUUUUGGGCGCGGCUUUGCCCCCGGCUUAUUUUUGGUACCCCGAAGCCCCUCGCAAAGUCUCGCCCCAUUCCGAGUCCGGCGGACGAACUUCGCCCGCGCCCCCCACCAAGGCUAUAGCCCACCCGUUUUUUGGCCAUUUUUCCGCUGGGGGGUUUUGGCACCACGACCUUCGGGCGCUUAUUUUUGGGCACGGCUUUUCCCGCGGCUUAUUUUCAGCACCCCGAGGCCCCUCGCAAAGUCUCGCCCCAUUCCGAGUCCGGCGGACGAACUUCGCCCGCGCCCCCCACCAAGGCUAUAGCCCACCCAUUUUUUGGCCAUUUUUCCGCUGGGGGUUUUGGCACCACGACCUUCAGGCCCUUAUUUUUUGGCGCGGCUUAUUUUUGGCACCCCGAGGCCCCUCGUAAAGUCUCGCUCCAUUCCGAGUCGGGCGGAACGAACUUCGCCCGCGCCCCCCACCAAGGCUAUAGCCCACCCGUUUUUUGGCCAUUUUUCCGCUGGGGGGGUUUGGCCCCACGACCCUCGGCAGCUUAUUUUUGGGCGCGGUUUUGCUCGCGGCUUAUUUUUGGGCACCCAAGGCCCCCCCCAAUGCCUCCCCCCAUUCCGAGUCCGGGGGAAGAACUUCCCCCGCCCCCCCNNNNNNNNNNNNNNNNNNNNNNNNNNNNNNNNNNNNNNNNNNNNNNNNNNNNNNNNNNNNNNNNNNNNNNNNNNNNNNNNNNNNNNNNNNNNNNNNNNNNNNNNNNNNNNNNNNNNNNNNNNNNNNNNNNNNNNNNNNNNNNNNNNNNNNNNNNNNNNNNNNNNNNNNNNNNNNNNNNNNNNNNNNNNNNNNNNNNNNNNNNNNNNNNNNNNNNNNNNNNNNNNNNNNNNNNNNNNNNNNNNNNNNNNNNNNNNNNNNNNNNNNNNNNNNNNNNNNNNNNNNNNNNNNNNNNNNNNNNNNNNNNNNNNNNNNNNNNNNNNNNNNNNNNNNNNNNNNNNNNNNNNNNNNNNNNNNNNNNNNNNNNNNNNNNNNNAUAGCCCACCCGUUUUUUGGCCAUUUUUCCGCUGGGGGGUUUUGGCACCACAACCUUCGGGCGCUGAUUUUUGGGCGCGUCUUUGCCCGCCGCUUAUUUUGGCUUCCCGAAGGCCCCCCCAAAGUCUCGCCCCAUUCCGAGUCCGGCGGACGAACUUCGCCCGCGCCCCCCACCAAGGCUAUAGCCCACCCGUUUUUUGGCCAUUUUUCCGCUGGGGGGUUUUGGUUGCCACGACCUUCGGGCGCUUAUUUUUGGGCGCGGCUUUGCCCGCGGCUUAUUUUUGGCACCCCGAGGCCCCUCGCAAUGUCUCGCCCCAUUCCGAGUCCGGCGGACGAACUUCGCCCGCCCCCCCCACCAAGGCUAUAGCCCACCCGUUUUUUGGCCAUUUUUCCGCUGGGGGGUUUUGGCACCCGACCUUCGGGCGCUGCUUUUUGGGCGCGGCUUUGCCCUUGGCUUAUUUUUGGCACCCCGAGGCCCCUCGCAAAGUCUCGCCCCAUUCCGAGUCCGGCGGACGAACUUCGCCCGCGCCCCCCACCAAGGCUAUAGCCCACCCGUUUUUUGGCCAUUUUUCCGCUGGGGGGUUUUGGCGCCACGACCUUCGGGCGCUUAUUUUUGGGCGCGGCUUUGCCCGCGGCUUAUUUUUGGCACCCCGAGGCCCCUCGCAAAGUCUCGCCCCAUUCCGAGUCCGGCGGACGAACUUCGCCCGCCCCCCCCCACCAAGGCUAUAGCCCACCCGUUUUUUGGCCAUUUUUCCGCUAGGGGGUUUUGGCACCACGACCUUCGGGCGCUGAUUUUUGGGCGCGGCUUUGCCCGCGGCUUAUUUUUGGCACCCCGAGGCCCCUCGCAAAGUCUCGCCCCAUUCCGAGUCCGGCGGACGAACUUCGCCC